CUGCUGUGAUGAUUGAUUAAUCUGACCUGGCAUAGUUGACCUCCGGGUCGACUCUGGCCAGGACAUGACCUUUGUAUAAUCUUCUCUCUGAGCAG
ensembl:snoRNA Z30 small nucleolar RNA